rfam:Prevotella sp. CAG:1031 genomic scaffold, scf73
GACUGCUUUUUUGAAUCACCUCUCAGCAGUCGCGGCUG